rnacentral:rRNA from 1 species
ACGGGAGGCAGCAGUGGGGAAUAUUGGGCAAUGGGCGCAAGCCUGACCCAGCAACGCCGCGUGAAGGAAGGAGGCCUUCGGGUUGUAAACUUCCUUUGUCAGGGACGAAGGACGUGACGGUACCUGACGAAUAAGCAACGGCUAACUACGUGCCAGCAGCCGCGGUAAUACGUAGGCUGCAAGCGUUGUCCGGAUUUACUGGGUGUAAAGGGCGUGUAGGCGGAGCUGCGAGUCAGAUGUGAAAUCCCGGGGCUCAACCCCGGAACUGCAUUUGAAACUGUAGCCCUUGAGUAUCGGAGAGGCAAGCGGAAUUCCUAGUGUAGCGGUGAAAUGCGUAGAUAUUAGGAGGAACACCAGUGGCGAAGGCGGCUUACUGGACGGUAACUGACGUUGAGGCUCGAAAGCGUGGAGAGCAAACAGGAUUAGAUACCCUGGUA